CCCCGUGUAACCAAAAGAGCUCUCUCUGAAAAUUAGAAAAGCAAAUCAUACCACACAUUUUUUUUUUCAAAUAAAUAUAGUUGCCAAGUCAGAUCCAGGAAAAACAAUAGCACGUCAUAAGUAAAACCUUAGAACAUGCUAUGUUAAUUAGCUACCUGGAAGACCAGAGGCAAAUGUGUUUGUUCUAUGCGCUGAACACUUAAAAGGGAGAGGGAAAGGUGUCAGCUUGGGAAAGAGGAAUGUGGAAAUAUGGCAAAGACAAUCUAAGAGGAGAGAGAGAAAGGAAACAAGAGGAAAGGAUUCGACAGAGGAAUUUCACAACAGCAUAGAAGAAUAGAUCAGGAGUUUUGCUACCAAAUAAUGGAGAAAAAAUACACAGAAGCCUAGGAAGUGACCUUGAUUAAAACGCCCACCAUGUGAAUGCUACUCAGCCGACACACUCAUUUUGCCUCUUAAAGG
rnacentral:lncRNA from 1 species